rnacentral:lncRNA from 1 species
CGGACCCUGAGGCCUCGUGGUCAUUUUUCCUUUUCUUUUUCUUUGGGGGGCGAGCUCGAGGGAAGACGAAGCCGGCCCUCUCCUUGUCGAUGCCGGCCUGGAUCUUGGCGCAGAGCUCCGCCCUCUCGUGCAAGAAACCUUCGACGUCGCUCCUCGCCUCCGCUAGCUGCUUCCCGAAGCUCAUCCGCGUCUCCACCUUCCUCGCCUGAUCCCUGAUCCCCUUGUUUAUGUCCCUCAGCUGCAUAUUUAUAUACAUGCAAUCACAAAUUAACAACAUCAAUUCAAUUUGUAAUCACAUGUUGGUGCUUAAUUAAAUUAUGUUAUAUUGGUGCUUAGCUGCUUAAUUAUACUCAGUAUGAUGUACUGUAUAUUUUAGUUGCUUACACGGC